rnacentral:rRNA from 1 species
UACAGAGGUCCCAAGCGUUGUUCGGAUUCACUGGGCGUAAAGGGUGCGUAGGUGGUGGGGUAAGUCGGAUGUGAAAGCUCGGAGCUCAACUCCGAAAUGGCAUUGGAAACUACCCUGCUAGAGGAUUGGAGGGGGGACUGGAAUACUUGGUGUAGCAGUGAAAUGCGUAGAUAUCGAGAGGAACACCAGUGGCGAAGGCGAGUCCCUGGACAACUCCUGACACUGAGGCACGAAAGCUAGGGGAGCAAACAGG